AUUGAACGCUGGCGGCAGGCCUAACACAUGCAAGUCGAGCGGAUGAAGGGAGCUUGCUCCUGGAUUCAGCGGCGGACGGGUGAGUAAUGCCUAGGAAUCUGCCUGGUAGUGGGGGAUAACGUCCGGAAACGGGCGCUAAUACCGCAUACGUCCUGAGGGAGAAAGUGGGGGAUCUUCGGACCUCACGCUAUCAGAUGAGCCUAGGUCGGAUUAGCUAGUUGGUGGGGUAAAGGCCUACCAAGGCGACGAUCCGUAACUGGUCUGAGAGGAUGAUCAGUCACACUGGAACUGAGACACGGUCCGGACUCCUACGGGAGGCAGCAGUGGGGAAUAUUGGACAGUGGGCGAAAGCCUGAUCCAGCCAUGCCGCGUGUGUGAAGAAGGUCUUCGGAUUGUAAAGCACUUUAAGUUGGGAGGAAGGGCAGUAAGUUAAUACCUUGCUGUUUUGACGUUACCAACAGAAUAAGCACCGGCUAACUUCGUG
rnacentral:rRNA from 1 species